GCGAGUAUGGCGAAAUUGGUAGACGCAUUAGAUUUAGGUUCUAGUAGGAUAUAUCCUGUGCAAGUUCAAGUCUUGCUAUUCGU
rnacentral:tRNA from 1 species